AAAUUCAGUAAUAAAUACUUGAAAUAUAAAAUUAACAAUUUUAAUUUCACAUUCAGGCAGAAAACAGAUUUAAAAAGUAGGUCAACCAUAUCCAUCAGUGAGAAAUCCACAUCUCAAAGUAUUAUUGUCCAACAAUCAAUAAAUUUCACAAUGCAACAAUAUCAUUCAAGUUUUUUUUUUUUAUUAUAGCUUUUACAUAGCCUAUAGUGCUACUUUCAUGCUUAUAGCAUGCUC